rnacentral:rRNA from 1 species
UACGUAGGGUGCGAGCGUAAUCGGAAUUACUGGGCGUAAAGCGUGCGCAGGCGGUUGUGCAAGACAGAUGUGAAAUCCCCGGGCUCAACCUGGGAACUGCAUUUGUGACUGCAUAGCUAGAGUACGGCAGAGGGGGAUGGAAUUCCGCGUGUAGCAGUGAAAUGCGUAGAUAUGCGGAGGAACACCGAUGGCGAAGGCAAUCCCCUGGGCCUGUACUGACGCUCAUGCACGAAAGCGUGGGGAGCAACAGG